rnacentral:rRNA from 1 species
GGUUAAGCGACUAAGCGUACACGGUGGAUGCCCUGGCAGUCAGAGGCGAUGAAGGACGUGCUAAUCUGCGAUAAGCGUCGGUAAGGUGAUAUGAACCGUUAUAACCGGCGAUUUCCGAAUGGGGAAACCCAGUGUGUUUCGACACACUAUCAUUAACUGAAUCCAUAGGUUAAUGAGGCGAACCGGGGGAACUGAAACAUCUAAGUACCCCGAGGAAAAGAAAUCAACCGAGAUUCCCCCAGUAGCGGCGAGCGAACGGGGAGCAGCCCAGAGCCUGAAUCAGUGUGUGUGUUAGUGGAAGCGUCUGGAAAGGCGCGCGAUACAGGGUGACAGCCCCGUACACAAAAAUGCACAUGCUGUGAGCUCGAUGAGUAGGGCGGGACACGUGGUAUCCUGUCUGAAUAUGGGGGGACCAUCCUCCAAGGCUAAAUACUCCUGACUGACCGAUAGUGAACCAGUACCGUGAGGGAAAGGCGAAAAGAACCCCGGCGAGGGGAGUGAAAAAGAACCUGAAACCGUGUACGUACAAGCAGUGGGAGCACGCUUAGGCGUGUGACUGCGUACCUUUUGUAUAAUGGGUCAGCGACUUAUAUUCUGUAGCAAGGUUAACCGAAUAGGGGAGCCGAAGGGAAACCGAGUCUUAACUGGGCGUUAAGUUGCAGGGUAUAGACCCGAAACCCGGUGAUCUAGCCAUGGGCAGGUUGAAGGUUGGGUAACACUAACUGGAGGACCGAACCGACUAAUGUUGAAAAAUUAGCGGAUGACUUGUGGCUGGGGGUGAAAGGCCAAUCAAACCGGGAGAUAGCUGGUUCUCCCCGAAAGCUAUUUAGGUAGCGCCUCGUGAAUUCAUCUCCGGGGGUAGAGCACUGUUUCGGCAAGGGGGUCAUCCCGACUUACCAACCCGAUGCAAACUGCGAAUACCGGAGAAUGUUAUCACGGGAGACACACGGCGGGUGCUAACGUCCGUCGUGAAGAGGGAAACAACCCAGACCGCCAGCUAAGGUCCCAAAGUCAUGGUUAAGUGGGAAACGAUGUGGGAAGGCCCAGACAGCCAGGAUGUUGGCUUAGAAGCAGCCAUCAUUUAAAGAAAGCGUAAUAGCUCACUGGUCGAGUCGGCCUGCGCGGAAGAUGUAACGGGGCUAAACCAUGCACCGAAGCUGCGGCAGCGACNNNNNNNNNNUGUUGGGUAGGGGAGCGUUCUGUAAGCCUGUGAAGGUGUGCUGUGAGGCAUGCUGGAGGUAUCAGAAGUGCGAAUGCUGACAUAAGUAACGAUAAAGCGGGUGAAAAGCCCGCUCGCCGGAAGACCAAGGGUUCCUGUCCAACGUUAAUCGGGGCAGGGUGAGUCGACCCCUAAGGCGAGGCCGAAAGGCGUAGUCGAUGGGAAACAGGUUAAUAUUCCUGUACUUGGUGUUACUGCGAAGGGGGGACGGAGAAGGCUAUGUUGGCCGGGCGACGGUUGUCCCGGUUUAAGCGUGUAGGCUGGUUUUCCAGGCAAAUCCGGAAAAUCAAGGCUGAGGCGUGAUGACGAGGCACUACGGUGCUGAAGCAACAAAUGCCCUGCUUCCAGGAAAAGCCUCUAAGCAUCAGGUAACAUCAAAUCGUACCCCAAACCGACACAGGUGGUCAGGUAGAGAAUACCAAGGCGCUUGAGAGAACUCGGGUGAAGGAACUAGGCAAAAUGGUGCCGUAACUUCGGGAGAAGGCACGCUGAUAUGUAGGUGAAGUCCCUCGCGGAUGGAGCUGAAAUCAGUCGAAGAUACCAGCUGGCUGCAACUGUUUAUUAAAAACACAGCACUGUGCAAACACGAAAGUGGACGUAUACGGUGUGACGCCUGCCCGGUGCCGGAAGGUUAAUUGAUGGGGUUAGCGCAAGCGAAGCUCUUGAUCGAAGCCCCGGUAAACGGCGGCCGUAACUAUAACGGUCCUAAGGUAGCGAAAUUCCUUGUCGGGUAAGUUCCGACCUGCACGAAUGGCGUAAUGAUGGCCAGGCUGUCUCCACCCGAGACUCAGUGAAAUUGAACUCGCUGUGAAGAUGCAGUGUACCCGCGGCAAGACGGAAAGACCCCGUGAACCUUUACUAUAGCUUGACACUGAACAUUGAGCCUUGAUGUGUAGGAUAGGUGGGAGGCUUAGAAGUGUGGACGCCAGUCUGCAUGGAGCCGACCUUGAAAUACCACCCUUUAAUGUUUGAUGUUCUAACGUUGACCCGUAAUCCGGGUUGCGGACAGUGUCUGGUGGGUAGUUUGACUGGGGCGGUCUCCUCCUAAAGAGUAACGGAGGAGCACGAAGGUUGGCUAAUCCUGGUCGGACAUCAGGAGGUUAGUGCAAUGGCAUAAGCCAGCUUGACUGCGAGCGUGACGGCGCGAGCAGGUGCGAAAGCAGGUCAUAGUGAUCCGGUGGUUCUGAAUGGAAGGGCCAUCGCUCAACGGAUAAAAGGUACUCCGGGGAUAACAGGCUGAUACCGCCCAAGAGUUCAUAUCGACGGCGGUGUUUGGCACCUCGAUGUCGGCUCAUCACAUCCUGGGGCUGAAGUAGGUCCCAAGGGUAUGGCUGUUCGCCAUUUAAAGUGGUACGCGAGCUGGGUUUAGAACGUCGUGAGACAGUUCGGUCCCUAUCUGCCGUGGGCGCUGGAGAACUGAGGGGGGCUGCUCCUAGUACGAGAGGACCGGAGUGGACGCAUCACUGGUGUUCGGGUUGUCAUGCCAAUGGCACUGCCCGGUAGCUAAAUGCGGAAGAGAUAAGUGCUGAAAGCAUCUAAGCACGAAACUUGCCCCGAGAUGAGUUCUCCCUGNNNNNNNNAGGGUCCUGAAGGAACGUUGAAGACGACGACGUUGAUAGGCCGGGUGUGUAAGCGCAGCGAUGCGUUGAGCUAACCGGUACUAAUGAACCGUGAGGCUUAACCUU